CAGUAGCCACGGGAAUACGUAGGGUGCGAGCGUUAAUCGGAAUUACUGGGCGUAAAGCGUGCGCAGGCGGUUUUGUAAGACAGAGGUGAAAUCCCCGGGCUCAACCUGGGAACUGCCUUUGUGACUGCAAGGCUAGAGUACGGCAGAGGGGGAUGGAAUUCCGCGUGUAGCAGUGAAAUGCGUAGAUAUGCGGAGGAACACCGAUGGCGAAGGCAAUCCCCUGGGCCUGUACUGACGCUCAUGCACGAAAGCGUGGGGAGCAAACAGGAUUAGAUACCCGCGUAGUCCCUGUCUUUAUACA
rnacentral:rRNA from 1 species